rnacentral:rRNA from 1 species
CGAUGACACCAGCGAUUAGUCGGUGUUAAUAUACGACCCGACUAGCAGCUUCCGGGAAACCAAAGUUUUUCGUUUCCGGGGGAAGUAUGGUUGCAAAGCUGAAACUUAAAGGAAUUGACGGAAGGGCACCACCAGGAGUGGAGCCUGCGGCUUAAUUUGACUCAACACGGGAAAACUCACCCGGCCCGGACACCGUAAGGAUUGACAGACUGAGAGCUCUUUCUUAAUUCGGUGGGUGGUGGUGCAUGGCCGUUCUUAGUUGGUGGAGCGAUUUGUCUGGUUAAUUCCGAUAACGAACGAGACUCUGGCCUACUAAAUAGGCCACCGGCUUACUGACGUCGGUGGGACUUCUUAGAGGGACAGGCGGCGAUUCAGCCGCACGAAACAGAGCAAUAACAGGUCUGUGAUGCCCUUAGAUGUCCGGGGCCGCACGCGCGCUACACUGAAGUGAUCAGCGUGCAUUACAAACCUGCUCCGUCAGGAGUGGGGAGCCCAAUGAACCUUCUUCGUGAUUGGGAUAGGGGAUUGUAAUUAUUCCCCUUGAACGAGGAAUUCCCAGUAAGCGCGAGUCAUAAGCUCGCGUUGAUUACGUCCCUGCCCUUUGUACACACCGCCCGUCGCUACUACCGAUUGAAUGAUUUAGUGAGGUCUUCGGACUGGCCGGCGCAGCUGUCUUCGGGCGGCCGCGCUGUGUUUGGAAAGAUGCCCAAACUUGAUCAUUUAGAGGAAGUAAAAGUCGUAAACAGGUUUCCGUAGGUGAA